UUAAAAUUGUAAUUGUCAUUUGAUCACCUUCGGCUGCUUGCUCCGACGUGAAAAACAAUGAGUCACCAAUACCGUACGGUACGGUAGCGUUCCAGUCCAAAUCCACCCACUAGUUUUGUUUUCAUCGUUCCAAAUGAGCUUUCAGAAUUGUGAUGAGCAAACAACAACAACAGGAAGAACAAUGGAAUUGGAUCUGCUUCAAUGCGAAAAGGGUCUAUACAUAAUACAAUAGACUGCAAUCUCACCAGGCUCGACUGGAUUACUUUAAUGGUGUGUUUUAUCACCUACGGUUGAGGGGAAAAUGCAACAUGCCCUUGUGAUGUAUUAUUCUCUAUUACUUCUGGGUUAUCAAAGGAAAAAGGAUGCUUUUCAUUUGUCUUUGAAAUGGAUUACGUCUUUUAUGGUUAAGAUUUAGUUUUCAAGAAUCUAUAGGAGUAUGCAAUGUCACGACAUUCAAAAUCAAUUAUCAACUUAUCAUUCCUUUAUUUGAUGGAAUGGAAUUUCAAAUAAUGUGACACCAUGUAUACCCUUAGAUUCAAGUUAAAUGUUGACCAUGAAAUAGAACAUAUCCAUUUCUUUCAAAAUGGAGGACUCCUUUGUAUUGAAUCAAAAUUGAUCCACCAGAUGUGUAAAAUGAUAAUUGGAUUAUCUAGUUUGCUAUAAGAGUUUAUGAAGAACAUUGCACGAAUGGAAAUUUAUGUUCUAAUCA